AGAGUUUGAUCAUGGCUCAGAUUGAACGCUGGCGGCAGGCUUAACACAUGCAAGUCGAGCGGUAACAGGAAUAGCUUGCUAUUUGCUGACGAGCGGCGGACGGGUGAGUAAUGCUUGGGAAUAUGCCUUAUGGUGGGGGACAACAGUUGGAAACGACUGCUAAUACCGCAUAAUGUCUACGGACCAAAGGGGGGGAUCUUCGGACCUCUCGCCAUUUGAUUAGCCCAAGUGAGAUUAGCUAGUUGGUAAGGUAACGGCUUACCAAGGCGACGAUCUCUAGCUGGUUUGAGAGGAUGAUCAGCCACACUGGGACUGAGACACGGCCCAGACUCCUACGGGAGGCAGCAGUGGGGAAUAUUGCACAAUGGGGGAAACCCUGAUGCAGCCAUGCCGCGUGUGUGAAGAAGGCCUUCGGGUUGUAAAGCACUUUCAGUUGUGAGGAAAGGUGUGUAGUUAAUAGCUGCAUACUGUGACGUUAACAACAGAAGAAGCACCGGCUAACUUCGUGCCAGCAGCCGCGGUAAUACGAGGGGUGCAAGCGUUAAUCGGAAUUACUGGGCGUAAAGCGUUCGUAGGCGGUUGAAUAAGCAAGAUGUGAAAGCCCAGGGCUCAACCUUGGAACUGCAUUUUGAACUGUUCGACUAGAGUACUGUAGAGGGGGGUAGAAUUUCA
rnacentral:rRNA from 1 species